UUGCAUAAUUUCAGGAAAAAAAAUUUGCAGUUAUCUCCAAAAAAAAAAAAAUGAUUUUGGUCCUUUAUUUUUUGUAACUGUAAAGUUCUUCACAAUUCUCUCCUCUUCCCCCCUUAAAAAUCUCAACUUAAAUUUUCAUCUCAAAUUCUUGAAUAAAGGGCAGAAAGUUGCCUACCCUGAAAAACCCCAAAGGUUGGGUUGAUUGUAUUUGAAAACCCUCUAUUUUAUUGCAUGAAUGCAUCAUUGAUUAAAUAUUUUUGGGUGAUUUUAUUAAUAUCUCUUUCUCAAUUGAUGGUGUGAUUGAUUCGUCUGGUGGAAGAACUAAGAAGAUGGCUAUGAUGAAAACUUCAUUCAGUUUGAAGGUUUGUUUUUACAAUAUGUAAACUAAUUCUCUACCUCAAAUAUUAGAAAAAAAUAAACCAUUGCAGGUAACCAAAAACAAAAAUUCUCACAUGCAAUUGAUAUACGGCAGAUCUGAACAACACCAAAUUCUCACAGUUGAUGUACAUGCUGCUAAUGAUCUCCUUUAUUCUAGCCAUUGCUAUUUUGAUGUCAGUGGAGCGUAACUCCUACGAAAUGGCGUCCACAUGGAACUUUGGAUUUCCAGCAUCAAUUUUCCAUUACCAAAUUUGAGGUGCAAAUAAGAAGAGUGGGAGAAAGCAAAUUAAAAGAUCGCAAGAUUGCGGGCAAAAAUUAUUUUACAAACGACACCGAAACCUGAUCUUUCAAAAUUUGAAGGUUUGUUUAGAGCUAAUAUAAAUUUAAGUUUUAAGAUGUAAAGAUUUACACAAAUUUGAUUAAGAGUUCAUUUAUUGCUUACAGUUGCAUGCAAGUAUUACUAGCAUUAGCUUUUCUUUUUCUUUUAGUUCACGAGAGUUUGGUUUUAUGUUGUGAUGGAUGCAUUUGAUUUGGGCUAUUAUAAUCUGCAUUGAGUAUUUCCCUGAGAGCUUUUGGGUUUUCAUGAG